CGAGGCUGAAAAGCGUAGUCGAUGGGCAACGGGUUAAUAUUCCCGUACUGGUGGUAACUGCGAAGGGGGGACGGAGAAAGCUAAAUCAUCCGGGCGACGGUUGUCCCGGUUUAAGCGUGCAGGUGGACUGACCAGGCAAAUCCGGUCGGUUGUUAACACUGAGGCGUGACGACGAGCCACUACGGUGGUGAAGUGAUUGAUGCUCUGCUUCCGGGAAAAGCCUCUAAGCUCCAGGUUACCAUUAAUCGUACCCCAAACCGACACAGGUGGUCAGGUAGAGAAUACU
rnacentral:rRNA from 1 species